rnacentral:misc_RNA from 1 species
AACAAAACAGUGUAGUAGAGCUCCAAUGUUAAUUGCGCCGACAUGAAAAUUGAGUAAGGAGUGUGCCCAAAUCCUGAAAUUACCGGUGAACCACCUCAUUAUUUGCAAAUAUUUUUAUCGUUAAACAAUCUGUUGAGACACCGUUUAAUGUACGUUGGGGUUUGUAGCAACAGCGAAUGCACACAGCACCGUGUUUUCAUGUGAUGAAAUGACACAGAUGUGCACCGGAAAUACGACAAGAAAGGGUUAGCGUGGGAUAUGUCGGAACUCGUCUUUUUAUUUACGAAGAUUUCACGUAAACGGUAGAACAACGCAGCAGAUUCACUGUGAGUGUGCGCAAGCGAGUUUACUAGACACGGUGUUAUAAACUUUGAGCAAUCAAAAUGUUCAUCGAAACGCUUGAGUUCACAAUCCCGAUAGAUUUGUGUGACCUAUUUUCCACUUUGAAAAGGGGUCCACGAUCUAAUUUAGAAUUCCCGGCGUCUGUGAAUUCGUAUGGCACAACACAAGAUGCCAACAUUCAGGUAGCUCUAAGAUCAAACAAAUUGACUUUCAAAGUGGACGGUGUGUCGUCAAAUUCGAGUAUGAUCUCAAAGAGUGAAUGCAAGACAUUGAAAUUGUCUGUAUUCGAUGUGGACUGUUCAUUGUCUGGGGCAGAAUAUGAACAAGUUACUCAUAUGGUUUCACAGCCCAUUUAUUCAGCUCCUCAUGUUAUACCUGCCAAGAGAUCUCGAGAUCGUCCAUCACCAAUGAAAUCCCCUCCAUCCAAGACCAGCCGAAGUUCUUUCCAAGAGACAAAACAUCAAAACAUUCCUCUUCCAUCACCUGACCCAUUGCAAUCAAAAUCAAUGAGUGAAACUGUGAGUGUGAAACUGGAACCAGAUUUAAUAGAAAUUGAACCUGAUUCUGAACAAUAUGGAGAUGAAUCUAAUCAAAGUAUAGACAGGAGACAUAAUACACAAGCAGCAUUAGAUAGACUCUCUCAUCCACAAUCAUCACAUUCUCAAUCAUCAGCAUCUUCGUCCUCAUCCUUCCAUCAAAACGUUCCACAUGUGCCAGAUUAUGCCGAACCCAGUACAAGCCAAGGAGAUCAUCAUGGUGACCAAAAUAUAGACGACUAUGUAGUGUACCAACAAGAAGAUGAUGAUUAUGGGGAAGACAAUGAUAACAGCGCGCUGAUUUCGGAAAUGAUGGAAGGUCAACAUCAAUGCUCUCAGUGAAAUCCCUCUGCACACCUUCCACAAGGAGGAGGACACGGAGAAGCCUCCUGGAAACUUCCCAGUCAAGACGUGCAUCUCUCAGUCCUACUGCUGUAAGAGAUAGUGCCAAGAAACUCGUGGUAGCAUCAACCGUCGGACGGAACAGGAGGUUCUCCUGCCCCCAGUGCAACAGGAGCUUCAGCUCCACUGUUGACAUGGCCAUGCAUGUGCGGUUCAACCAUAAGUGUGUCUGUGGGCAGGUGUUCCGUUUCCAGACGGGGUUGAUGGCGCACAAGAGAGUGUGUUACUCAGUCAAGGCUUCCAAGUGAUGCUCAUAUUGUAGAGCCAUCUUAUUUGAACAAGCAGGUUAUCUGCAAGAUACUCUAACAGACUGCAUCAAGCAUUUGAAGAGUUGCUUAUCUGAUAGCUAGGAUGUUGGUGCACGAACAUGGUUAUAUUAAAAGGACAGUCAGUUGUUGUGGAACAUCUUGGUCUUCAGAAUUGGGUAAUGUCUUGGUGUUCAGAGAGACACUUGUUGGGUGACGUCUUGGUGUUCAGAGAGACACUUGUUGGGUGACGUCUUGGUCUUCAGAGAGACACUUGUUGGGUGACAUCUUGGUCUUCAGAGAGACACUUGUUGGGUGACAUCUUGGUGUUCAGAGAGACACUUGUUGGGUGACAUCUUGGUCUUCGCCUUGGUGUUCAGAGAGACACUUGUUGGCUGACGCCUUGGUGUUCAGAGAGACACUUGUUGGGUGACGUCUUGGUCUUCAGAGAGACACUUGUUGGGUGACAUCUUGGUGUUCAGAGAGACACUUGUUGGGUGACGUCUUGGUCUU